CCCCCAAAGCUCACAUCAGUCCCUGUGCUUGUCACCUGCCUGGACAAGCUGCCCCCACAAGCUCCGGGGGGCUGCAACCUACUGGGACAUGUUUCCCGUUUGCAUCGGUUCCCACCGCGGCAAAGCGUAAAAAACGGGAUGAUGUGCAGGGGGGUCCACAAGUCGCCCCCAAAAGUCUGUGUCCUUUGAAUGUUUCCAGAAGAUUUGGCACUGCACCAAAAGCAGACAGCAAAUAUAUAUGAAGUGCCUACUGGAGAGUAUUCUGGACACCAAAACUGAAAAGAAGAAAAAAAAAUACACGUCCCUGGGUUCCUGGAACUUCACUCUGAUGGGUGCACCGGGAGGUUAGACAGCAGCAGGUAAGUGUGGUCAGCAGGUGACCCCACGUGGAGCGGGGUUGCUCCGUUGGGUGGUUGGUUAGGGAAGGCCUUCCUUUCUGGCAGGAUAGCUGAGGCCUUAGGAGAGGAGGGGGAGCCACGCAGAACUCCCAGGACGAGCAAGCAGAGGGAGGUGCUGGAGAUGAAACACAGGGGACGGGGCCGCAUCCCGGGGAGCCUCCUCCGGGGAGGUGGGAAGCUGUGGAGGGGUCACAGAGGAGUGACCCCGCAGAGGGGACCCAGAGAUUGUCAAGGCUCAGGGGAGAGCAGACCAGGCCUGGGGCAGAGGCGUCAGCCAGAGGGUGGGUAGUGACAGAUGGAAGGUGCCAGUGGCUUGCCUGCCCCCUACCUCCACCCCUGUGUUCACUGUGAAGAUGGUGACAAGUGGUCAUUGUCUGGGUAUACAGGAAAGAUCCAGGUUUUGUAGGGCCUAAAGCUGAUAUCACUGGGAGGCCCUAUUGAAGGCAACAAACAUAAAAUUAUGACUCCAAAUUUAGGUAGGAAAAUUAGUAUUAUAAGGAGUUCUUGCCCCGGGGUCCAUGAACACCCCUUCCCACCUUCUAUGGAUAAAAUCCAGGAGGUAGGGACACCUGGGUGGCUCAGUGGUUGAGCGUCUACAUUCGGCUCAGGUUGUGAUCCUGGGGUCCUGGGAUCCAGUCCCACAUCGGGCUCCCCACAGGGAGCCUGCUUCUCCCUCUAUAUCUUUCAUGAAUUUUUUAAAAAAGGGGGACACCUGGGUGGCUCAGUGGU